rnacentral:lncRNA from 1 species
AAUCCCGAAGCGAGGAUUCAUGUCAUGAUGAUGUGGCCAUUGGUAACGUUGAGACUCCCGGUCCCAUAGUCUUUGGGCAGGGAGUGCUGGGGGCAAAGGCGGGGCCGGAGCGCUGGGGUCAAAGGCGGGGCAGGUGGAGGGCUCGGAAUAGCAUGUCUUCUUCCCGCAUCCUGAUGAUCUAACUCUUGGUCUGCUAUGCUGGGAGAAGUUUCGUCCCAGUCGAGAUUAGCAUGAGUUUGCCUCUCUACGUAAGAACGAAUCAACUGAUCAAG